AUUGAACGCUGGCGGCAGGCCUAACACAUGCAAGUCGAACGGUAACAGGAAACAGCUUGCUGUUUCGCUGACGAGUGGCGGACGGGUGAGUAAUGUCUGGGAAACUGCCUGAUGGAGGGGGAUAACUACUGGAAACGGUAGCUAAUACCGCAUAACGUCGCAAGACCAAAGAGGGGGACCUUCGGGCCUCUUGCCAUCGGAUGCGCCCAGAUGGGAUUAGCUAGUAGGUGGGGUAACGGCUCACCUAGGCGACGAUCCCUAGCUGGUCUGAGAGGAUGACCAGCCACACUGGAACUGAGACACGGUCCAGACUCCUACGGGAGGCAGCAGUGGGGAAUAUUGCACAAUGGGCGCAAGCCUGAUGCAGCCAUGCCGCGUGUAUGAAGAAGGCCUUCGGGUUGUAAAGUACUUUCAGCGGGGAGGAAGGGAGUAAAGUUAAUACCUUUGCUCAUUGACGUUACCCGCAGAAGAAGCACCGGCUAACUCCGUG
rnacentral:rRNA from 1 species